rnacentral:pre_miRNA from 1 species
AAAGGAUAAGGAUGAUGAUGUCAACAACGAUGAUGAAGAUGAUGACAAUGAUGAUUUUCAUCAUUUUCAUCGUCAUUGUUGUCAUCAUCAUUAUCG